AAUCGAACCCGGAGAUAGCUGGUUCUCCUCGAAAUAGCUUUAGGGCUAGCCUCAUGGAUCAUUGGUGGGGGUAGAGCACUGAAUGUGCGCGGGGGCCACAAAGCCUACCAAACGCUAUCAAACUUCGAAUACCAUACAAUGCAGACCAUGGGAGUCAGUCCGCGAGAGAUAAGUUCCGCGGGCAAAAGGGGAACACCCCAGAUCAACCGCUAAGGUCCCCAAGUUCACGUUAAGUGGAGAAGGAUGUGGAAUUGCACAGACAACCAGGAUGUUGGCUCAGAAGCAGCCACACAUUUAAAGAGUGCGUAAUAGCUCACUGGUCGAGUGAUUGUGCGCCGAAGAUGUCCGGGGCUAAACGUGACACCGAAGCGAUGGGUGCAUCUGAAGAAGAUGCGCGGUAGAGGAGCAAUGUGCAGAGGCAGAAGCCGUAUCGAGAGGCACGGUGGACACUGCACAAGAGAGAAUGCCGGUAUGAGUAGCGAGAGGCAUGCGAGAAACAUGCCCGUCGAAAGCCCAAGGUUUCCUGGGGAAGGUUCAUCCGCCCAGGGUAAGUCGGGGCCUAAGCCGAGGACGGAAGUCGUAGGCGAUGGACAGCAGGUGUAGAUUCCUGCACUACCGAUGGAAUGAAGCAGUGACACAGAAGGAUAACUCGAGCAGGGUGAUGGUCAACCCUGUGCAAGCAUCAAGGUUGGGUUGUAGUGAAGUACGCAAUCCUAUAAGCUGAGGUGUGAUGCGGACCGAAAUUUCAGUAGGGAAGCGAGUGAGUUCACGCUGGCGAGAAAAGCUGCUAGUACAUCCAAAGGUACCCGUACCGGAAACCGACGCAGGUGGGCGAGGAGAGAAUCCUGAGACGAACGGGAGAACCCUUGUUAAGGAACUCGGCAAAAUGACCCCGUAACUUCGGGAUAAGGGGUGCCUGCGAGAGCAGGCCGCAGAGAAUAGUCACAAGCGACUGUUUAGCAAAAACACAGGUAUCUGCGAAAGCGAGAGCUGACGUAUAGGUGCUGACACCUGCCCGGUGCUGGAAGGUUAAGGGAACAUGUUAGAGCAAUCGAAGCAUCGAACCGAAGCCCCAGUAAACGGCGGCCGUAACAAUAACGGUCCUAAGGUAGCGAAAUUCCUUGUCGGGUAAGUUCCGACCCGCACGAAUGGUGUAACGACUUGUGAGCUGUCUCAACAGGGGGCCCGGUGAAAUUGAAGUAUGGGUGAAGAUGCCCAUUACCCGCGACUGGACGGAAAGACCCCGUAGAGCUUUACUGCAGCCUGAUAUUGAGUUUCGGUAACUGAUGCACAGGAUAGGUGGGAGUCUGAGAGACAUGGGUUUCGGCUCAUGUGGAGACGGUGUUGGGAUACCACUCUUCGGUUACUGAAAUUCUAACAUAGCUCUGUGAAACCAGAGGAUGGACAGUGUCAGGUGGACAGUUUGACUGGGGCGGUCGCCUCCGAAAGAGUAACGGAGGCGCCCAAAGGUACCCUCAGAAUGGAUGGAAACCAUUCGAAGAGCGCAAAGGCAGAAGGGUGCCUGACUGCGAGAUUGACAAAUCGAGCAGAGACGAAAGUCGGGCUUAGUGAUCCGGCGGUAUUGAGUGGAAAAGCCGUCGCUUAACGGAUAAAAGCUACCUCGGGGAUAACAGGCUGAUCUCCCCCAAGAGUCCACAUCGACGGGGAGGUUUGGCACCUUGAUGUCGGCUCGUCGCAUCCUGGGGCUGAAGCAGGUCCCAAGGGUUUGGCUGUUCGCCAAUUAAAGCGGCACGCGAGCUGGGUUCAGAACGUCGUGAGACAGUUCGGUCCCUAUCCAUCGUGGGCGUAGGAGUCAUGAGAGGAGCUGUUCCUAGUACGAGAGGACCGGAAUGGACGCACCACUGGUGCAACUGUUGUCGUGCCAACGGCAUAGCAGGGAAGCGAAGUGCGGAUGGGAUAAACGCUGAAGGCAUCUAAGCGUGAAGCCCACCUCAAGAAUAAGACUCCACAAUAGACCCCUGGAGGACUACCAGGUAGAUAGGUCAUCGGUGGAAGCGCUGUAAGGCGUGU
rnacentral:rRNA from 1 species